CUUCUCUGCCAGCUGACUUUAUGGGGACCAUCAUGACUGUUAAAUUUGAUUCAGGCAAGAUGCACCACUGGGCAAAUUUUAUUGAGAGUUCUCCAUGCCAAGAACUCCUACAAUCUGUCAUCUGAGAAAGCCCCAGAAUGCUGAGACAGGAGCCAGGGUCUGCCUUUAAGCCAGGUGAAACCAUCGCUGCAAGAGACUAUAUUUGGACCCACAAUGUGUCAGAAGGAUGACAUAUUCUAUAUAACCUUUUCACCCUUUCUGCUUCUGUGUACACAAGUCUCUGUAGAAUUACCGGAGAUUCAGUGACUUUUUAAUAUUCCCCAGAGCUACCUUCAAAAACUGUGAGAUCACUUGGAUAGAGGCAGCAUUCAAAUGCUGAGUGUGAACACUCAGAGAGGAGAUUCAGACUACAGCAAUUGUUAGCAUCUUUGAGCAUUAACUAUUCUCAGAAAAUGGAGUAUUUGGAUCGCAGCUCUGAAGAAGGCAGAAGGUUUUAGCAACAGAAUCGCCAUUUUACAUUUCACAACCAUGGGACAAGUCACCCUCUUCUUCCUGCAGUCUAUGACUCUGGCUUCUCAGCGGAGUUCCUGGAAACAAACGCAACUGGAGGAGAUCAAAUCCCAGCGUUCCUGGUAUGUGGAACUGCGGCCCACCAUCACUCUCCAAGGAGCCCACGAGGUGUGGUGAUGUUGAGCUCUGAACUAGAGGUCAGGAUAUUUUGGUUGCUAAUUCUAGCUCUGCCACUUCCCUGCCAGGUGACUUUCUUGUGUCAGGUGACUAUAUGAGGCCUGCUGCUUCCUUAUGUGCAGAAUGAGGACUGUCCUUGGUGUUAUUCCCAGUUUCAACGUUCUAGAAGACUGCGUUAGCUUUGUCAAACCAAAUUCUGGAAGUAAGUAGCAAAUGUUUAGAUGAUUAUAUACUUAGGAACUUGAGUAGAAGUCCCAGACAUUUGGCAUUGGAUGGCAAAAUCUCAGAGCUAUGAAGUUUCACUCAAGUACAAAGUCCCCUGAACACUCAAUUGUACACUUUCUCUAAUGUGACAUUCUUUGACAGAUAAUUUUAUCAUGUUGGUGGACAAUGACUUUAUUGAAUAAAUGUUCUUUGAACUCUA